rnacentral:lncRNA from 13 species
UCUUCUGUUCCACUCCAGUGUUAAUUUGCUAAAUGGUAACUAUUUUGAAACUACAACCUAUUUAUUGCCUCACCUCCCUAAUCUUACUUCGUUUGCACACACUGUAUAUAGACUUUUCUGUUGUGUUAUUGACUUGGUUCAAAUAUUAACACACAUUCAGUUAAUGGCUUAGUGAUAACGGUAGUUGAACAGUUGAGUGUGUACUGCCUGGAAUAAUGAGACCUGUACACGCAGUAGGAUCAGGAAUGAAGAAUGGUAGUGUAAACUGUAACUGUGCUGUAAAGCUAUGAGCCAACUGGCUCUGAUGCCCUGUACACCCAGUAGGACCAGGAAUGAAGAAUGGUAGUGUAAACUGUAACUGUGCUGUAAACCUAUGAGCCAACUGGCUCUGAUGCCCUGUACACCCAGUAGAACCAGGAAUGAAGAACGAUAGUGUAAACUGUAACUGUAAACCUAUGAGCCAACUGGCUCUGAUGCCCUGUUUCCUAGGUUGAAGAAUGUAUGGUUUUCUAGCCUUUAACUCACUGGCUAUCAGACUGGGGGUUUUAGUGUGUAAAUAAAGAACUUGAAGUAGAAGCUAAGACAAGACAGGAAGCAAAGAAACCAUCGUCCAAUCAGAGAGACAGGAGGCAAAGAAACCAUCGUCCAAUCAGAGAGACAGGAGGCAAAGAAACCAUCGUCCAAUCAGAGAGACAGGAGGCAAAGAAACCAUCGUCCAAUCAGAGAGACAGGAGGCAAAGAAACCAUCGUCCAAUCAGAGAGACAGGAGGCAAAGAAACCAUACGUUCACAAAAGAGAAAAGGUGAGAACAACUCAACCUGGAAUCCUCGUCUGGGUCCCUCUGGGGACUCUAUGGCUUCAGAAUCUACUAGAUGACGUGUCUGGUGCCGAACAUGGAGAUCUUCCUACCCAGGGCCAAUCCCUCAGUGAUGCCAACCUGAUGUUUGAGUUCUUGUUGGGUGGAGUAGAGAUCGACAAAGACAACAACAUCAUCUUGCUGGACCUGGAGAUGGCAUCUAUGAGGCAGGGACGGGCCUUCCUGGCUCGCAUCAACGACAACAUCCCCAAGACCCUCUCUUCCAUGGAGCAGAUGGUGAAGGACCUGGAGGACCAGAGAGGGGGCUCUCCCUCUGGCUGCACCCCGCUUUGAGAGCCUCAUCCUGGGCAUAGUCUACUCUGCCCACCAGGCCAAGCUCCAGGAGAGAGAGGAGGACCAGGAGAAAUGGGGAGAGGUGCUGAAACGUUUAGCUAAUGUUACAGUCAACGAGCUGCGUAGACCGGAAGACAUCACAACAUUUACUUAGAUUUGAAUACAGACUGUUCAUUAGCCUGGUCCCAGAUCUGUUUGUGCUGU